rnacentral:lncRNA from 1 species
GUGACACCCUAGACCCAAACUGUUACAGACCUAUUUCCAUCCUGCCCUGCCUAUCUAAAGUCUUCGAAAGCCAAGUUAAUAAACGGAUCACUGACCAUUUAGAAUCCCACCGUACCUUCUCCGCUGUGCAAUCCGGUUUCCGAGCUGGUCACGGGUGCACCUCAGCCACGCUCAAGGUUCUAAACGAUAUCAUAACCGCCAUCGAUAAAAGACAGUACUGUGCAGCCGUCUUCAUCGACCUGGCCAAGGCUUUCGACUCUGUCAAUCACCGUAUUCUUAUCGGCAGACUCAAUAGCCUUGGUUUUUCUAAUGACUGCCUCGCCUGGUUCACCAACUACUUUGCAGACAGAGUUCAGUGUGUCAAAUCGGAGGGCAUGUUGUCCGGACCUCUGGCAGUCUCUAUGGGGGUACCACAGGGUUCAAUUCUCAGGCCGACUCUUUUCUCUGUAUAUAUCAAUGAUGUCGCUCUUGCUGCGGGCGAUUCCCUGAUCCACCUCUACGCAGACAACACCAUUCUGUAUACAUCUGGCCCUUCCUUGGACACUGUGCUAACAAACCUCCAAACGAGCUUCAAUGCCAUACAACACUCCUUCUGUGGCCUCCAACUGUUCUUAAACGCUAGUAAAACCAAAUGCAUGCUUUUCAACUGUUCGCUGCCCGCACCAGCCCGCCCGACUAGCAUCACCACCCUGGAUGGUUCCGACCUAGAAUAUGUGGACAACUAUAAAUACCUAGGUGUCUGGCUAGACUGUAAACUCUCCUUCCAGACUCAUAUUAAACAUCUCCAAUCCAAAAUCAAAUCUAGAAUCGGCUUUCUAUUUCACAACAAAGCCUCCUUCACUCCCUCUGCCAAACUUACCCAAGUAAAACUGACUAUCCUACCAAUCCUCGACUUCGGCGAUGUCAUCUACAAAAUAGCUUCCAUUACUCUACUCAGCAAACUGGAUGCAGUCUAUCACAGUGCCAUCCGUUUUGUUACCAAAUCACCUUAUACCGCCCACCACUGCGACCUGUAUGCUCUAGUCUGCUGGCCCUCGCUACAUAUUCGCCGCCAGACCCACUGGCUCCAGGUCAUCUAUAAGUCUAUGCUAGGUAAAGCUCCGCCUUAUCUCAGUUCACUGGUCACGAUAACAAUACCCACCCGUAGCACACGUUCCAGCAGGUAUAUCUCACUGAUCAUCCCCAAAGCCAACACCUCCUUUGGCCGCCUUUCCUUCCAGUUCUCUGCUGCCAGUGUCUGGAACGAAUUGCAAAAAUCGCUGAAGUUGGAGACUUUUAUUUCCCUCACCAACUAUAAACAUCAGCUACCUGAGCUGCUAACCAAUCGCUGCAGCUGUACAUAGUCCAUCUGUAAAUUGCACACCCAAUCUACCUACCUCAUCC